GAUGAACGCUGGCGGCGUGCCUAAUACAUGCAAGUCGAGCGAACGGACGAGAAGCUUGCUUCUCUGAUGUUAGCGGCGGACGGGUGAGUAACACGUGGAUAACCUACCUAUAAGACUGGGAUAACUUCGGGAAACCGGAGCUAAUACCGGAUAAUAUUUUGAACCGCAUGGUUCAAAAGUGAAAGACGGUCUUGCUGUCACUUAUAGAUGGAUCCGCGCUGCAUUAGCUAGUUGGUAAGGUAACGGCUUACCAAGGCAACGAUGCAUAGCCGACCUGAGAGGGUGAUCGGCCACAAUGGAAAUAAGACACGGUACAGACUCAUACGGGAGGCAGCAGUAGGGAAUCUUCCGCAAUGGGCGAAAGCCUGACGGAGAAACGCAGCGUGAGUGAUGAAGGUCUUCGGAUCGUAAAACUCUGUUAUUAGGGAAGAACAUAUGUGUAAGUAACUGUGCACAUCUUGACGGUACCUAAUCAGAAAGCCAAGGAUAACUACGUG
rnacentral:rRNA from 1 species